rnacentral:RNase_P_RNA from 1 species
GUGGGCGGAAGCUCAUUGUAGAGGUCACAUGCUGAGUGCUCGUCACUCCACCAAUCACCUCGGGGAAGGUCUGAGACAAGAGCCAAUCGUUGCUCUAGCAGGGCAUCACCUGAUUCGGGUGAGCGAGUGAACAGAAAUCAUGGUCCCGUGUGAGCGGUCGUAGCAGGAGAAGCCGGUCGGCGCAGAUUUGUCAGCGCCAUCCGGUGGAUGUGGCGCUCACUGGAUUGGAAUCGCUCGCGGCUGGCGGAUGAGUGCGAUGUAUGAGGUGGUGCACAGCUCCACAACCCAAUUCAGACUACUCUCCCCCCAC